CCAGACUCCUACGGGAGGCAGCAGUGGGGGAUAUUGCACAAUGGGGGGAACCCUGAUGCAGCGACGCCGCGUGGGUGAAGAAGCGCCUCGGCGCGUAAAGCCCUGUCAGCAGGGAAGAAAAUGACGGUACCUGAAGAAGAAGCCCCGGCUAACUACGUGCCAGCAGCCGCGGUAAUACGUAGGGGGCAAGCGUUAUCCGGAUUUACUGGGUGUAAAGGGGGCGCAGACGGCGAUGCAAGCCAGGAGUGAAAGCCCGGGGCCCACCCCCGGGACUGCAUUUGGAACUGUGUGGCUGGAGUGUCGGAGAGGCAGGCGGAAUUCCUGGUGUAGCGGUGAAAUGCGUAGAUAUCAGGAGGAACACCGGUGGCGAAGGCGGCUUACUGGACAGUGACUGACGUUGAGGCUCGAAAGCGUGGGGAGCAAACAGGAUUAGAUACCCCUGUAG
rnacentral:rRNA from 1 species